rnacentral:rRNA from 1 species
CAGUAGCCGCGGUAAUACGAAGGGUGCAAGCGUUAAUCGGAAUUACUGGGCGUAAAGCGUGCGUAGGCGGUGAGUUAAGUCUGCUGUGAAAUCCCCGGGCUCAACCUGGGAAUGGCAGUGGAUACUGGCUCGCUAGAGUGUGUCAGAGGAUGGUGGAAUUCCCGGUGUAGCGGUGAAAUGCGUAGAGAUCGGGAGGAACAUCAGUGGCGAAGGCGGCCAUCUGGGACAACACUGACGCUGAGGCACGAAAGCGUGGGGAGCAAACAGGAUUAGAUACCCCUGUAGUCCCUUCUCUUAUACA